rnacentral:rRNA from 1 species
CACCUCUAGCAUAACUAGUAUUAGAGGCACUGCCUGCCCAGUGACAAUCGUUAAACGGCCGCGGUAUCUUGACCGUGCAAAGGUAGCAUAAUCACUUGUUCUCUAAAUAAGGACUUGUAUGAAUGGCCACACGAGGGUUUUACUGUCUCUUACUCCCAAUCAGUGAAAUUGACCUCCCCGUGAAGAGGCGGGGAUAACACAAUAAGACGAGAAGACCCUAUGGAGCUUUAAUUAAUCAACUCAAAAAGCAUAAAAUAAUACCACCAAGGGAUAACAAAGCUUUACAUGAGCUGACAAUUUCGGUUGGGGUGACCUCGGAGCAUAAAAAACCCUCCGAGUGAUUAAAACUUAGGCCUACCAGCCAAAGUAUAACAUCACUUAUUGAUCCAAAAUUUUGAUCAACGGAACAAGUUACCCUAGGGAUAACAGCGCAAUCCUAUUCUAGAGUCCAUAUCGACAAUAGGGUUUACGACCUCGAUGUUGGAUCAGGACAUCCUAGUGGUGCAGCAGCUACUAAGGGUUCGUUUGUUCAACGAUUAAAGUCCU